CCUACGGGUGGCAGCAGUAGGGAAUUUUCGUCAAUGGGCGCAAGCCUGAACGAGCAAUGCCGCGUGAACGAGGAAGGUCUUCGGAUCGUAAAGUUCUGUUGAAGGGGAAGAAGAGCGGAGAGCGGAAAUGGUCUCCGAUUGAUAUUACCCUUCGAGGAAGUCACGGCUAACUACGUGCCAGCAGCCGAGGUAAUACGUAGGUGGCGAGCGUUAUCCGGAAUGAUUGGGCGUAAAGGGUGCGUAGGCGGCCUGCUAAGUCUGGAGUGAAAGGUACCGGCUCAACCGGGACAGGCUCUGGAAACUGGUUGGAUAGAGAGCAGGAGAGGGCGGUGGAACUCCAUGUGUAGCGGUAAAAUGCGUAGAUAUAUGGAAGAACACCAGUGGCGAAGGCGGCCGCCUGGCCUGUUGACUGACGCUGAGGCACGAAAGCGUGGGGAGCAAAUAGGAUUAGAUACCCCGGUAGUC
rnacentral:rRNA from 1 species